UGUGUAAGCGAAGCUAUAUGUGGAGCGGUGAAAGGCUCAGUAACGGGCGAUUUAUUUAAUCUCCUGGGACGGACAACAUCGGGAAACUGAUGGGAAAACGUCUAAGUUGCAUUAAUUUUAGUGUGACGUAAACGGAUACGUGCAGGAGAGUAAGAUGCCAUCCUAUCAGUUAGUAAGUAGGGUAAGGGCCUACUUAGACGAAGACGGGUACGGGGAAUGAGGGUUUGAUUCCGGAGAGGGAGCCU
rnacentral:rRNA from 1 species